GUCACCAUAGAGACGGGGGCUGACAGCGAACGGAAGAGGAAGGAGCUGGCCGGGCUGUGAGGUGGCAGCGGUUGCAGCGGCGGAGCCGGCGCCUCGGCUGGGCACUGGGGUCUGUUCCCCCUUCCCCGCCUUUCCCCUGCAAGGGCGACGCUCCCGCGCUCAGGAGCCGGUCUGCCCCCGCACCCUCGCCCGCGCUCCUGGACCGCGCUGGCCGCGUCGGCCACGCCCGGGCAGCCCUUUAUCCGGCCGCUGCCGCCCCUGACCCUGCCACAGGGGCCUCCCCCUGUGCUGUCGUUCGCCCGCUGGCGCAGUGAGGGCCCUCGCCCCGCCGACGAGCCCGAGAACAGUCUCUGCCCUCCUUUCCCAGCCGCCAGCUCCAUUGCCGUCGCGCGCGGCGGGGACAAACCGAGCUGGGUCCCCCUGCCCCUCCUCAUCAGCUGCGUGACGCAGUCGGUUUUGUUUUCAGGCUAACGGCUGAAACUCGCCUUGGGCCUGCUUUCCAAGACUAGAAUUGGUCUUUGAUCGCUGAGAGGUAGAGUAGGGGCACCGGGCCUGGCAACGAUCACAUCCGAAGCCCGCCGAGCCUCCGUUUGUUUUCACAGGAGCCUUGCGUUGUCUCUAGCUGCUUCUCGACCUCUUGAUUUAGUUUGGUUUGGGUGCCUGGGACCCGGAUAAAAACAGACAUCGAAUUGCUCGAACUCAGCGGGAGUUACUGUCAUUUGCCUCCUGGCUCAUAGAGGAAGGUGGGUAGCACCAGCCUCAACGCAGCUGUGAUUUGGAGAAUAAUGCCCCGCAGAAUGGCUCCAUCAGCCAUUGUGCUUCUCUGACAAAGAGGCUGUCAGUGUUGAGUCACCAUAUCUGUCCACCUCAUUUGGAUGGGCAGGACUUCUGUGUGCCAUGAAAGUGGCUCCUGACCACUCCUGACUGGGAGGAGGGGUUGCUCUGGCGGUGUGUUUCCUCAACACCCAGGAGUAGAGUGGAAAGGGGUCCCAGCCCCUUCCCUGUGCCUGCCUUCAGCAGCUAGUUGGCAGCCCCUUUGGUAAAUUGAGAGAGAAACUUGCCCUGAGCAAGGUGCAAUUUGGGAAAGGCCUACCGAGUCAGGCUUCUCUAGCUAGGGGCCAUUGCUCUGUUGGAGCAUGUGCUUUUCCCACCUCCUUUAUCAGUUGCUGCUGUCUCUUGACUUUAGUCCAGUCUGCCAAUGUCUGUAGUCUUCCUUUUUGGGUUAGCUUUGACAGGAUUGAGUUUUGUUACCUCCCCUUUCUACUGGAAGACAGACCAUAAUCCUGAUUCUAAUAUUUAUUACCAUUUGCACUGAGGGUUAGGUCUGGCACCCUGAGGAGUGAAAACCAGGCAGACGCUGUCUGGAGAUGCUCGGCCUGCAAGUCUUGGAAAGAAAGCCCAAAGCGAGUUUCAGGCCUUACUCUGUUACUGACUUCAUGGAACUCAGGUUCCCUAGUUAGAACUGCUGGCCUACUGCUGGCCUGGCACCCACCAACCUGUUGAUCAAUCCUUGCAGUGGUGCCCUCUGGGGCAUGCACGUGGCAGGGCCCACCACCAUGAGACUGAGUUCCCUGUUGGCUCUGCUGCGACCAGCACUGCCCCUCAUCCUAGGGCUGUCCCUGGGAUGCAGCCUGAGCCUCUUGCGGGUUUCCUGGAUCCAGGGUGAGGGAGAAGAUCUCUGUGUAGAGGCUGUUGGGGAACUGGGAGGGCCACAGAAUCCAGACUCAAGAACCCGGCUCGAUCAAAGUGAUGAAGACUUUAAACCCCGGAUUGUCCCUUACUACAGGGAUCCCAAUAAGCCCUACAAGAAGGUGCUCAGGACUCGGUAUAUCCAGACAGAGCUGGGCUCUCGUGAGCGGUUAUUAGUGGCUGUUCUGACUUCCCGGGCCACACUGUCCACUCUGGCUGUGGCUGUGAACCGCACAGUGGCUCACCAUUUCCCACGGUUACUCUAUUUCACUGGGCAGCGAGGGGCUCGGACACCAGCAGGAAUGCAGGUGGUAUCUCACGGGGACGAGCGGCCGGCCUGGCUCAUGUCAGAGACCCUGCGCCAUCUUCACACACACUUUGGGGCCGACUACGACUGGUUCUUCAUCAUGCAGGAUGACACGUAUGUGCAGGCCCCCCGCCUGGCAGCCCUUGCUGGCCACCUCAGCAUCAACCAAGACCUAUACUUGGGCCGAGCAGAAGAGUUCAUUGGUGCAGGCGAGCAGGCCCGGUACUGCCAUGGGGGCUAUGGCUACCUGUUGUCACGGAGUCUCCUGCUUCGACUGCGGCCACAUCUGGAUGGCUGCCGAGGAGACAUUCUCAGUGCCCGUCCUGAUGAGUGGCUUGGCCGCUGCCUCAUCGACUCUCUGGGCAUCGGCUGUGUCUCACAGCAUCAGGGGCAGCAGUAUCGCUCAUUUGAACUGGCCAAAAAUAGAGACCCUGAGAAGGAGGGGAGCUCGGCUUUCCUGAGUGCCUUCGCGGUAUACCCCGUCUCCGAGGGAACCCUCAUGUACCGGCUCCACAAACGCUUCAGUGCUCUGGAGCUGGAGCAGGCGUACAGUGAAAUAGAACAACUGCAGGCUCAGAUCCAGAACCUGACCGCGCUGACCCCUGAAGGGGAGGCAGGGCUGAGCUGGCCCAUUGGGCUCCCAGCCCCCUUCACACCGCGCACUCGAUUUGAGGUGCUGGGCUGGGACUACUUCACUGAGCAGCACACCUUCUCCUGUGUAGAUGGGGCCCCCAAGUGCCCACUGCAAGGGGCCAGCAGGGCAGAUGUGGGCGACGCUGUGGAGACCGCUUUGGAGCAGCUCAAUCGGCGCUAUCAGCCCCGCCUGCGCUUUCAGAAGCAGCGGCUACUAAAUGGCUACCGGCGCUUCGAUCCGGCGCGGGGCAUGGAGUACACCCUUGACCUGCUGCUGGAAGCUGUGACACAGCGUGGACACCGGCGGGCCCUGGCCCGCAGGGUCAGCCUGCUGCGGCCACUGAGCCGAGUGGAAAUCUUACCUAUGCCCUAUGUCACUGAGGCCACCCGUGUGCAGCUAGUGUUGCCACUCCUGGUGGCCGAAGCUGCUGCGGCCCCUGCUUUCCUUGAGGCCUUUGCAGCCCGUGUUCUGGAGCCACGAGAGCACGCGUUGCUUACCCUGUUGCUGGUCUAUGGGCCUCGGGAAGGUGGCCGAGGGGCCCCAGACCCAUUUCUCGGGGUGAAGGCUACAGCAGCUGAGUUAGAGCGACGGUUCCCUGGGACAAGGCUGGCUUGGCUUGCUGUGCGCGCAGAGGCCCCCUCCCAGGUGCGGCUCAUGGACGUGGUCUCUAAGAAGCACCCCGUGGACACACUCUUCUUUCUCACCACCGUGUGGACCAGGCCUGGGCCUGAAGUCCUCAACCGCUGCCGCAUGAAUGCCAUCUCCGGCUGGCAGGCCUUCUUCCCGGUCCACUUUCAGGAGUUCAACCCAGCGCUGGCACCACAGAGAUCUCCCCUAGGACCUCCAGGGGCUGGCCCUGACCCCCCGUCCCCUCCUGGUGCUGAGCCUUCCCGGGGGACUCCCGUAGGUGGCAGGUUUGACAGACAGGCUUCCACGGAGGGCUGCUUCUACAACGCUGACUACCUGGCGGCCCGAGCCCGGCUGGCUGGCGAGCUGGCAGGCCAGGAAGAGGAGGAAGCCCUGGAGGGGCUGGAGGUGGUGGAUGUUUUCCUCCGGUUCUCAGGGCUCCACCUCUUCCGGGCCGUGGAGCCAGGGCUGGUGCAGAAGUUCUCCCUGCGCGACUGCAGCCCUCGGCUCAGCGAGGAGCUCUACCACCGCUGCCGCCUCAGCAACCUGGAGGGGCUGGGGGGCCGUGCCCAGCUCGCCAUGGCUCUGUUUGAGCAGGAGCAGGCCAACAGCACCUAGCGCGCUGCCCUGGCCUGGCCCCUCCUCGUAGUUCCCUUUCUGCCUCAGCUCUGGGCAGGGCAAGGCAAGAUGGAUGGACAGAUGGAGAGCUUGUUGCUGUAUUUUUUUAAUAAGAAAAUGUUAUUAAAAGCAUCUUCUGCCACAUUAUUUUUAGGUGUAGGGAAAAUGGAGAAAGGAGAAGUAUCUGGGGGGCUGGGAGGCGAUUUCCCAGGGGGACCCACUGCCUUCCCUUUCCCCCUUCCUCCCCACUUGCCAAUGACACACGGGGCUGCUAUCAGAUGCAUAACCUUUAAUCCACCCAGAAGGUGUCAGAGGAGUGACAGCAGAGCCCUGGGGAAUGGGGCAGCCCCAAGGCCUCCACAGACGCUCAUUCACAGGGGCUCCUAGGUGUUGCGCACAACCAGUGACUGCUCCAGCUCCUGCCUGCGCUGCUGGAUCUUUAGAGAGAUGAGAGCAGUAGCAGGGUCACAGUGCUGCUGGUGAGUGCCAGGGCCACCCCAGCCACCCGCUGCCCUGGAAGAGCAUCUGGGAGAUGGUGAGGGGGUGUGGAUUGCCAAAGGCAGCUGACAGGGCUGAGAAGGGAGGUUUCUCGUGGAGUAGGGGAGGGGGGCAGCCUGAGGUGCGUGGGCCCCUCCACACCUUGCAAUAGAAGUAGCGGCUGACGGCUUCCUGGGACCAGGGCUGGUGGUAGAACUCAGCCCGGCGCUCCUCCUCAGGGUUGCCUGCCACAUCUGUCAUCACCUGGGAGGGACAGUGGGGUCAAUCCUGAGCCCGGACCCCCUCCAGCCCCUCUGUACAAUGCUUACUGUCUUCCCAAUAUGCUUGUCUUCCAUCCAGUGCUCCCUGAGUCCCCUUCACCUUGAGGUCCCGGCUCUGGGAGCGGAGCAAGUCCUGGAUGUAGCCUUUGGGGUCUCUGGAGAAGCUUAGCAUGAAGUCCCUCUGGAUCUUGAGCUGGUUUAUGGACUCAAUCGUCUCAUGGAUCUGCAGGCCCAUGCUCUCUCCUGUUCUGGCUAGACUUGGUCAUUUCCGGGUCAAUGUCCCCCUCCAGCUCUAGGCUCUGGCCCCACCUUACUGUCCAGAGCACUGAUCUCCUGCUGGUUGGCCGUGGACAGGAGGAAGCUGCUCAUCUGCCCCUUCAAUGGCUCCUCCACCUCCACAUCAAUGUCAUAGCACGCUGUCUUCUUCUGGUCCGACGGGUCCACGCUGCCGGGGAAGUCCAGCCCUUGGGCUCAUGCACUACCCGCCACUGGCCCCCAGCAGAGGCCAAGGGCCGCUGGGGCAGAUGCAGUGGGGAGGGAGGGGAAACUGGUGGAAGGAAAAGGGAGGGAGGGUAGGACCACAAUGAUUCCCUGGUCUGAGGAGCAAGCUGGGGCCUCACCUGAUGACAUGGUUGAUGACAAUCGGGUCAGGGGGCAAUAGCAGAGCUGUGAGGCGCUGGGGAAUCUCAGAAAACUUCAGCCGAGGGCAAUCAAAAAUCUGAAGUAGGAGAGAGAGAGAGCACUCUUCCAUGCUCGGAAAGAACGUAACUGCAGUUCAUGACCCUUCCAUCUGGAAGGCCACAAGAAGCCAGGAUCAAGUCUUCAUUCCUCCCUGCUCAUUGCUGGUCCUAGGGUGGCUGUGGGGCUGGUGCAGGCAGGGAGGUGGGUUGGUCAGUGCAGUGGUUGGGAGCACAGGCCCCGGGUCGGCCUGCCUAGGCUUACUGCUGCCUCUAUGGCUUACUAUGCCACCGUGAAUGAGUUGCCACGUCAGGCCCAUUUCUUCUCAUCUGGAGUGGGGAUAAUAACAGCAUUUCUGUCACGGGGUGGUUGUGAGCAUUAAAUGAACCAGCGCACACAAGCGCUGGAGUAGUGCCUGGCAUAUGUGGCAUGUGGUAAGUGCUCAAUAAACACCAACUUAAUUUUA